rnacentral:rRNA from 1 species
UACGGAGGGUGCAAGCGUUAUCCGGAUUCACUGGGUUUAAAGGGUGCGUAGGUGGGCAGGUAAGUCAGUGGUGAAAUCUCCGGGCUUAACCCGGAAACUGCCAUUGAUACUAUCAGUCUUGAAUACCGUGGAGGUAGGCGGAAUGCGUCGAUGUAGCGGUGAAAUGCUUAGAUAUGACGCAGAACACCAAUUGCGAAGGCAGCUUGCUACACUACUAUUGACACUGAGGCACGAAAGCGAUGGGGAUCG